CCUACGGGAGGCAGCAGUAGGGAAUAUUGCUCAAUGGGGGAAACCCUGAAGCAGCAACGCCGCGUGGAGGAUGAAGGUUUUCGGAUUGUAAACUCCUUUUGUUAGAGAAGAUAAUGACGGUAUCUAACGAAUAAGCACCGGCUAACUCCGUGCCAGCAGCCGCGGUAAUACGGAGGGUGCAAGCGUUACUCGGAAUCACUGGGCGUAAAGAGCGCGUAGGCGGGAUAGCAAGUCAGAUGUGAAAUCCUAUGGCUUAACCAUAGAACUGCAUUUGAAACUGUUAUUCUAGAGUAUGGGAGAGGUAGGUGGAAUGCUUGGUGUAGGGGUAAAAUGCGUAGAGAUCAAGAGGAAUACUGAUUGCGAAGGCGACCUGCUAGAACAUAACUGACGCUGAGGCGCGAAAGCGUGGGGAGCAAACAGGAUUAGAUACCCGUGUAGUC
rnacentral:rRNA from 1 species